AUUGAACGCUGGCGGCAUGCCUUACACAUGCAAGUCGAACGGUAACGGGCCUUCGGGUGCCGACGAGUGGCGAACGGGUGAGUAAUACAUCGGAACGUGCCCGAUCGUGGGGGAUAACGAGGCGAAAGCUUUGCUAAUACCGCAUACGAUCUACGGAUGAAAGCGGGGGAUCUUCGGACCUCGCGCGGACGGAGCGGCCGAUGGCAGAUUAGGUAGUUGGUGGGGUAAAGGCUCACCAAGCCGACGAUCUGUAGCUGGUCUGAGAGGAUGAUCAGCCACACUGGGACUGAGACACGGCCCAGACUCCUAGGGGAGGCAGCAGUGGGGAAUUUUGGACAAUGGGGGCAACCCUGAUCCAGCCAUGCCGCGUGCAGGAUGAAGGCCUUCGGGUUGUAAACUGCUUUUGUACGGAACGAAAAGCUCUCCUCUAAUAAAGGGGGGUCAUGACGGUACCGUAAGAAUAAGCACCGGCUAACUACGUGCCAGCCGCCGCGGUAACAC
rnacentral:rRNA from 1 species